GAGGGUAUAGCUCAGUGGUAGAGUGUGUGCUUAGCAUGCAAAAAGUCCUGGGUUCAAUCUCUAGUACCUCUA
rnacentral:tRNA from 1 species